CCGUCAUCAAACUUUCUGCUACCCUAUAACCUCCCAGGGAAAUUGUCAUUCUUUAAAGUGAAUCUGUUAUUGUAAUUUAUACUUUCUGUAGAUCUUUUUACUUUUGCUGUAUAGUGUCCGACAUUUGCCUUUUUCACGCACCUUUUAUGGAGCUUCAUUGCAUUUUUGGCAUAAUCGCCUCUUGCUAAUGGAACCAGCAUUGGCCUCUGUUUGGGAAGCAUUUGAUUUCUUUUCUAUGCCUGUCUCAAUCCCCUGAUUAUGUUGAAGUGCUGGCUUUAUUGCCAACACAUCAUCCUAUUAAAUGGAGCAAGAAUUUCCUCUCGUGGUCUGCUUGAUCUACUCGGUCUUCAAAGCGUAGUAGUAGGGAAAUCGAUGUCGAUGAAUGCAUGUGCACUGCAGCAGAUUAAAGCCGGAUAAGAGAACAGCCUGUAAGUGUAUUCUUCAGCAGAAAGAAAAUGACAUAGUGUCAGGAGGGAGAGAGAGCAUGUUUGUAAUGAAGGAUUAUCACAAAAACUAUACAUUGCCUAGCAGUUUUGCUUCACAAUGUAUGGGAAGAUUGAUAAGAAGAAUUCACUUAUGCAGAAAUUGGCAUGACCGGUACUCUUAAAUCUGUCUGCCUUUUCUUUAACAAUCUGUGGCUUCAC